GUAUGGCACAAUGGAACAAUGUGUCUUGCUGUUAACCAGAAGGUUGGUGGUUCAAACCUGCCCAGGAACA